rnacentral:rRNA from 1 species
UAGAGUUUGAUCCUGGCUCAGAUUGAACGCUGGCGGCAGGCCUAACACAUGCAAGUCGAGCGGAUGAAAGGAGCUUGCUCCUGGAUUCAGCGGCGGACGGGUGAGUAAUGCCUAGGAAUCUGCCUGGUAGUGGGGGACAACGUUUCGAAAGGAACGCUAAUACCGCAUACGUCCUACGGGAGAAAGCAGGGGACCUUCGGGCCUUGCGCUAUCAGAUGAGCCUAGGUCGGAUUAGCUAGUUGGUGAGGUAAUGGCUCACCAAGGCGACGAUCCGUAACUGGUCUGAGAGGAUGAUCAGUCACACUGGAACUGAGACACGGUCCAGACUCCUACGGGAGGCAGCAGUGGGGAAUAUUGGACAAUGGGCGAAAGCCUGAUCCAGCCAUGCCGCGUGUGUGAAGAAGGUCUUCGGAUUGUAAAGCACUUUAAGUUGGGAGGAAGGGCAGUAAAUUAAUACUUUGCUGUUUUGACGUUACCGACAGAAUAAGCACCGGCUAACUCUGUGCCAGCAGCCGCGGUAAUACAGAGGGUGCAAGCGUUAAUCGGAAUUACUGGGCGUAAAGCGCGCGUAGGUGGUUUGUUAAGUUGGAUGUGAAAUCCCCGGGCUCAACCUGGGAACUGCAUCCAAAACUGGCAAGCUAGAGUAUGGUAGAGGGUGGUGGAAUUUCCUGUGUAGCGGUGAAAUGCGUAGAUAUAGGAAGGAACACCAGUGGCGAAGGCGACCACC